GACGAACGCUGGCGGCGUGCUUAACACAUGCAAGUCGAACGAAGUGGCGAAGGGGGGUGUAAUAUGUGAGUAACCUGCCCUCCUUUUUGGGAUAAGCCUUGGAAACGGGGUCUAAUUCCGACUAAAGUGGGAUGGGCUCGCGGCCUAUCAGCUUGUUGUUGGGGUGAUGGCCUACCAAGGCGGUGGCUGGUAGCCGGCCUGGGAGGGUGACCCUGCGCAUUGGGAACGGAAUAGAGCCCAGAGUGCGGCGGGAGGGGGGAAUGGUGGAUAAUGGACGAUAGGCGGAUGCCGGAUGCAGGGACGCCUCGUGGAGGAUUACGGGUUUCGAGUUGUAAUCUUCUUUCACGAACGAGCGGGUAGGUGGAGAAGAAGCGCCGGCUAACUACGUGCCAGCAGCCGCGGUAAUAC
rnacentral:rRNA from 1 species